rnacentral:rRNA from 1 species
GAUGGACGCUAGCGGCAGGCUUAACACAUGCAAGUCGAGGGGUAUGGUUCUUCGGAACCAGAGACCGGCGCACGGGUGCGUAACGCGUAUGCAAUCUACCUUUUACAGAGGGAUAGCCCAGAGAAAUUUGGAUUAAUACCUCAUAGUAUAACAUGACCGCAUGGUCGAGUUAUUAAAGUCACAACGGUAAAAGAUGAGCA